ACAUUUGUAGUCUGAUGCUUAUGAAAAUCAGACUGGCUGGUUCAUUAUUUAAUCAUUUUACAACUUCUCAGUAUUUUCCUUUCCCCAUGCAUACUAGGCAGUGUGAUCAAGGUAAAGCUGUGAUCCAGUAAUGCGCAUGAUGGUGAGCGCAUGCGUUUAGUUUCAGGAAAAACAAACUGCUGUUAUCUGCUCUCCUUUACCUUUUCUUGAUAGUUUCAAUAAUACACAUAACACAAAGUGUUUGUAAGUCGAUAAUUAAAAUGUUUUUGACUUCACCUAAAUAAAUUUUAUAUAUAAAUGGUUUUCUUAACCUUAGCCUUUUUUCCCCCCUUGCUUGUUCUUAUACUGCCACUUUCCAUUUCCUAAUUGCUUUCUUCCAUCAGCUGACCUUUUACAAAAGCUUUUGUUUUUUCAGUUACGAAAGCGCACACAGAAUCUUAACCUUCAACAGAAAACAAAUAGGCCCUUGCAAYUGGCCUUCAGUAUUUUCUCUAUAACGUUUUAACGUUCUCGAUAACGUUUUGGCUGUAGUUGUCCUAGCUCAGUCAUCUUUGCCAGUCAUGUAGACAACGGUAGGUGUCUUGAAACUGAAAAAGUAAGGCCCGCUGUAUCAAAAGGCCAGUAUUUUUGUGGCUCCCAAAGUGGGACUCUGAUCCAGCGAAUACUGAGGCAGUUGCAGCCGAUAGGGUAGAACACAGAGCCCUCCACAGGUGGAAGCACAAGUAACACAAAUAUCUUUCGUUGUUGAACAGGUGCUGACGCUCGGUACCAGAUCACUCAUACCGUCUCUCUCUUGUCCUGUUUUCUUCAUCAGAAUUCUGUUCUUCAGUAGUCCAAGCUGUGUCUCUUCACCGCCGUUGCUACAGAUUAAUCAUCACAGGCAUCUCCUGAGGAAAUUCUCUGCCGAAGUUGCCCCGUCCUUGUUGCGUAGACCUGCUGGUUGUGUUGCAAGAGCGGCGGAGACUUGCGUAUCCUCUGCUCAUCGUUGAUCAAUGAGUAGACUCGCGUUGGUGGUUGUAAGCUAAGCUUGCUCUCACAUACGUACUGGGACAGACAGAACGGAGUUGCCGGAGGUGCGAGCGAUCGGAAAGCAGACGUUGAGGAUAAACCAUUUAACUGUGUGAAGAUGCAGCACGCUGUAGGUGAGAGGCUUAGAGUGGGAAUGAACCAUGAUUAUUUUAUUCGUACAAUACCUGUGAUCUGUAGUGGAAAUCAUUGAUCUUCGUUUUUUUUUUUUUUCUUCCUUUUUUUUUUUUAAUCCUGUUUAUUUCUGUAAGUUGUAGGAUGUUCUAUCUUCAGUGUUAUUGCAACUUCAUAUUGUUUUCUCAAAAAUAAAAAAAAAUUGAGCAUCUACACUAA